rnacentral:rRNA from 2 species
UGGUGCUUGCAUCAUGAUUUACAUUUGAGUGAGUGGCGAACUGGUGAGUAACACGUGGGAAACCUGCCCAGAAGCGGGGGAUAACACCUGGAAACAGAUGCUAAUACCGCAUAACAACUUGGACCGCAUGGUCCGAGCUUGAAAGAUGGCUUCGGCUAUCACUUUUGGAUGGUCCCGCGGCGUAUUAGCUAGAUGGUGGGGUAACGGCUCACCAUGGCAAUGAUACGUAGCCGACCUGAGAGGGUAAUCGGCCACAUUGGGACUGAGACACGGCCCAAACUCCUACGGGAGGCAGCAGUAGGGAAUCUUCCACAAUGGACGAAAGUCUGAUGGAGCAACGCCGCGUGAGUGAAGAAGGGUUUCGGCUCGUAAAACUCUGUUGUUAAAGAAGAACAUAUCUGAGAGUAACUGUUCAGGUAUUGACGGUAUUUAACCAGAAAGCCACGGCUAACUACGUGCCAGCAGCCGCGGUAAUACGUAGGUGGCAAGCGUUGUCCGGAUUUAUUGGGCGUAAAGCGAGCGCAGGCGGUUUUUUAAGUCUGAUGUGAAAGCCUUCGGCUCAACCGAAGAAGUGCAUCGGAAACUGGGAAACUUGAGUGCAGAAGAGGACAGUGGAACUCCAUGUGUAGCGGUGAAAUGCGUAGAUAUAUGGAAGAACACCAGUGGCGAAGGCGGCUGUCUGGUCUGUAACUGACGCUGAGGCUCGAAAGUAUGGGUAGCAAACAGGAUUAGAUACCCUGGUAGUCCAUACCGUAAACGAUGAAUGCUAAGUGUUGGAGGGUUUCCGCCCUUCAGUGCUGCAGCUAACGCAUUAAGCAUUCCGCCUGGGGAGUACGGCCGCAAGGCUGAAACUCAAAGGAAUUGACGGGGGCCCGCACAAGCGGUGGAGCAUGUGGUUUAAUUCGAAGCUACGCGAAGAACCUUACCAGGUCUUGACAUACUAUGCAAAUCUAAGAGAUUAGACGUUCCCUUCGGGGACAUGGAUACAGGUGGUGCAUGGUUGUCGUCAGCUCGUGUCGUGAGAUGUUGGGUUAAGUCCCGCAACGAGCGCAACCCUUAUUAUCAGUUGCCAGCAUUAAGUUGGGCACUCUGGNGAGACUGCCGGUGACAAACCGGAGGAAGGGGGGGA